ensembl:lncRNA
GUCAGAUUACCUCUGACUCUGACCUCAGAUUGUCUCUACAGGUGCCAGUUCACACUUGACUGUGCCUAUAUAUGAUCUGUGUACUGCAUUCACUGGCGCUGACAGCCAUCCUGUCUUGUUGAUGCCUCAUAGAUCAUUUUUAAGUGUUAAAUGAGUUAUAUGGAUGGCCCCCCUGAGUGUAUGGAAACAAAAUCAAUGGCAAACUUCAAUCCGCACAAUCACUCCUUAUCUGAGACAGAGCAUUGGAUAUUACCUUACAGGUCAGUCAAUAACCUAUUAUCUCACAAGCUAAGAAAUAAAUGCUGCCUUGGGCCAGUAUUAAUUAGAAUGGCCAGGGAGGUAUAGACCAGAAGACAGGUGAUGCUGUUGUUUCUCACUAUUUGAAACACAGAUGAACGACAAACCAAUAGGAUUUGGUUUGCUGUUCAUUUUUGCAGGGUUGUUUGGUUUUUGGAGUCAGGGCCACAAGGCUUUUUUUUUUUUUUGGCUAUGAUUCAUCACUCUACUUUUCAAAGAUAAAAAUGUUGACAGUACAGAAUUAGUUUACCUUCCUUGUCACUUGAAGCAAAGAGGUCUGUGAUUCCUUUGCAUUACAAAAGCAAGGGAAAUACACCUUUCUGAAAAUACUGUUUUAGGGGGUAGAUCCAGGAGUAGAUCUGCAAUAGAUAUAAGGAUUGUUUUACUCUUUUCAGACUAAUGUAAAUCACUGACAACUGAGGACUGCUCCUCGCUUAAAUAGGCCACCCUUUAAUGCCUGUCAAGUCUUGCUAGGGUCACUUCCUACCAUAGCAUUAGAAUUAGGAAAUGGUUUGCUGAGUAUCCAGGAUUUAAAUUCCAUUGAGAUCCCAGAGUUGAAUAGUCCCUGUGCUCUACAGACUUACAGCAGGUUGAUAAGAAAUCCAGAGCACAGUGAUUCAGGUGGAAUUUAGGCUGCCUGAAUAUGACUCAUGUUAUUCUUCAGAUGCUUUGAAUAGCUGACCCUUAUCCUUUGGCAAAUCCAAGCUGGAUUUUUUGAAGUGCAUUUAGUCCAGAAAAUUAAAUUAAUUCUGAGAUGAAAUAUGGUUUUAAUUUAAAGCAGUAAGAGCUGGCCUGACAUAAUUGGCACUGCAUUCAAGAGAGCUAAGAACGAUUUUCUUUGACAUAUGUUUUAUCCCCAUACAGUCGUCUGUGGGGCUUGCUGCCCAAGGCAGAAAAGUCAAAUUCAUGACAUUGUAUUUAUAAGGCAAGAAAAAAUGUACUUGUUUACAUUUAGAUAUACAAACACAUAGACAUGGUGAUAAGCCAGUCAUGCCAAUCAGUAAGAAAAUGAAGUUCAACUUAACAUGUGUGAAUUGUAUGGUUUAAA